rnacentral:lncRNA from 1 species
CGUGAUCACAGCUCACUGCAACCUAGACCUCCUGGGCUCAGGCGAUCCUCCCACCUCAGCAUCCUGAGUAGCUGGGACUAUAGGCGCAUGCCACCAUGCCUGGCUAAUUUUUCGUAUUUUUUUUGUAGAGAUUGGGUCUCUCCACAUUGCCCCGGCUGCUCUCCAACCCCUGAGUUCAAGUGAUUCACCUCCCUUGGCCUCCCAAAGAACUGGGAUUACAGACGUGAGCCACCGUGCCUGGCUGAGAAGAUGGAUUUAAGAUAUGUUUUGGAGCGGAAAGUGAGCAGAAGAGGUGUGCAGUUUCCAGGCCUGGCCCAUACAGACCUCCAACAGGUGCUCCCCUGUGCUGUUACUCCUUCUGCCAACUGGAAGCAGAUGGUGACCAGGCUCUGGAGAAGGCAAGGCCUGAAGAUGGGAGAUUCCUAAGUGGAGGAGAACUGUGCCUUACUGACCUAAAUAUCCACUCAGUAUUGUUAUGUGAGAAUAAAUAAACUUGUGUUGACC